rnacentral:rRNA from 1 species
AGUAGUCAUACGCUCGUCUCAAAGAUUAAGCCAUGCAUGUGUAAGUAUAAAUAUUUUUCUUUGAAACUGCGAAUGGCUCAUUAUAUCAGUUAUAGUUUAUUUGAUGAAAUGUACUACUUGGAUAUCCGUAGUAAUUCUAGAGCUAAUACAUGAUCAAUUCCUCGACUUUGAAGAGGUGUAUUUAUUAGAAUGAAAACCAAUAGACUCUGUCUGUUUGUGAGUAAUAAUAACUUGUCAUAUCGCAUGCUUAGGUAGCGAUGUGUCUUUUAAGUUUCUGCCCUAUCAGCUUUCGAUGGUAGUGUAUUGGACUCCCAUGGCAGUAACGGGUAACGAAGAAUUUGGGUUCGAUUUCGGAGAGGGAGCCUGAGAGACGGCUCCCACAUACAAGGAAGGCAGCAGGCGCGUAAAUUACCCAAUCCUGACACAGGGAGGUAGUGACAAUAAAUCACAAUGCGGAACUUCUGUUUUGCAAUUGGAUUGAGAACAACGCACAACACUUAUCGAUAAACAAUUGGAGGGCAAGUCUGGUGCCAGCAGCCGCGGUAAUCCAGCUCC